rnacentral:tRNA from 1 species
AGUGGUUAAGCGCUUGGCUGUUAACCAAAAGGUUGGUGGUUUGAACCCACCAACCACUC